AUUGAACGCUGGCGGCAGGCCUAACACAUGCAAGUCGAACGGUAACAGGAAUCAGCUUGCUGAUUCGCUGACGAGUGGCGGACGGGUGAGUAAUGUCUGGGAAACUGCCUGAUGGAGGGGGAUAACUACUGGAAACGGUAUCUAAUACCGCAUAACGUCGCAAGACCAAAGAGGGGGACCUUCGGGCCUCUUGCCAUCGGAUGUGCCCAGAUGGGAUUAGCUAGUAGGUGGGGUAAAGGCUCACCUAGGCGACGAUCCCUAGCUGGUCUGAGAGGAUGACAAGCCACACUGGAACUGAGACACGGUCCAGACUCCUACGGGAGGCAGCAGUGGGGAAUAUUGCACAAUGGGCGCAAGCCUGAUGCAGCCAUGCCGCGUGUAUGAAGAAGGCCUUCGGGUUGUAAAGUACUUUCAGCGGGGAGGAAGGGAGUAAAGUUAAUACCUUUGCUCAUUGACGUUACCCGCAGAAGAAGCACCGGCUAACUCCGUG
rnacentral:rRNA from 1 species